UAUGCGAAAACGCAAAACCAAUAACUUUACAUGACUGAGUACUGUGAUUUAUAUUCCAUUAUUUUGGUCCUUCAAAGUUUUGACGUUUAGAUUGCCCGUCACAAAUAUAAAACAAUCUGAACGGCGAAUUAUUUUGACUAGUAACAUAUAUGCCUCGUGCAGAAAACCUAGGAUCUGUUUUACAAAGACUUUGAUAUGUCUGAGUUUAGUCAGGCAUAAGUUUUCAUUAACCUUUACCCUGCUAAGUUUCUAAAAUGAACUGAUCCAUCGUUCAGUUUGGACAGUACCAUCUAUUUUUCGAUGUGCAGGCUGACCUUGGUCUGCACUGGUCGCAAAGGCAGAAUCACUUGUUGCUAGUAGGCUAAAGGUUAACCGUAAACUAGUUGUGAAACUGAUUCAAGGUUGUUUACAUCUAAAAUGCAAGACAGUAAAUUCUCAAAAUUUAUUUUAUGCACAACUACUGUUGUGUGUGCUUAAAUUGUAGAUUAUUACAAAGUAGCUCUAAUUUGAAAUUUUUUGCUGUUGACAGGUUUCCAUGUUGUCUGCUGUUGGAAGAACAUCUAUGAGGGACUAUGAAUAGAAUCUUUAUCUUCUGCUUAUAUACAACACUUACUCAUGGGCCAGUGGCACAAUUUCUAGCUGUACAAGGAUAUAAUGGUGUUUGAUAAGUUGAUGACAAUGAAACUAAUGACCAUGUUAACAUCAGAGGAAAAGCAAACUGGGAGAAGAAAGGACAACAUUGUUUUCGAUCUUGAAGGCCUGCGUAGACAUAGGACCAGGGAAAGGGGGGCUAGGAGUGGGAGAAGUGCCUGUGACUGAUAUAUGCACUAUCAGAUAGAAAUCCAGUUCAAAAGGAAAUCUGAAAUAGUGAAAUAGCAGAAAUCAUGACUUACAUACUGUAUAAUCUGCUCUAAAAAAACAAACAUUUGAAUUU